GGAAAUUUUUUAUUGAAUUGGGGAGAAGAGAAGAAGCAACGAAGAAGAUGAUGAAGGAAAAAGGUCUGUUAAAUAAGAAUAAAGUGGAUAUUUCCCAGUUCUCAUAUGUUAGUUUCUUAAUUUCUAGAAUUAUAGUGCUAUUUUCUUAAUUUAGUGUUGAAAACUAGUUAGUUUUCCAAUUCACCCAUAAAAGUAUUU
rnacentral:sRNA from 1 species